UACGUAGGGUGCGAGCGUUAAUCGGAAUUAUUGGGCGUAAAGAGCUCGUAGGCGGUUUGUCGCGUCUGCCGUGAAAGUCCGGGGCUCAUCUCCGGAUCUGCGGUGGGUACGGGCAGACUAGAGUGAUGUAGGGGAGACUGGAAUUCCUGGUGUAGCGGUGAAAUGCGCAGAUAUCAGGAGGAACACCGAUGGCGAAGGCAGGUCUCUGGGCAUUAACUGACGCUGAGGAGCGAAAGCAUGGGGAGCGAACAGG
rnacentral:rRNA from 1 species